GUUAUACUACCAUGGACCACCCCUCGACAUGGGCAAUAGAAUUUCACCUAAAGUUGCAAACAUGAAGAAAAGACUCAUUUAUAGGGUUAGACUGCCAUGGACCACCCCUCGACGACCAAAAAUCAUCGACACCAAGUUAACUCGCUAGUUGAGCUAACUACUCGCUGGGAGAAAAUGAUAGUCCAAACCUACAAUAUUUGAGUUGUUGGGCUAAAAUGUGGCUUGCCCAGUGAGUUAAAAGUUAAAGAGUAUCAAUUUUUAGGCCUCACCGGGAAAUAAUGAAAUCGUC
rnacentral:lncRNA from 1 species